ACGUCCUACGGGGGGCAGCAGUGGGGGAUAUUGCACAAUGGGGGAACCCUGAUGCAGCGACGCCGCUUGGGUGGAGCAGCGCCUCGGCGCGUAAAGCCCUGUCAGCAGGGAAGAAAAUGACGGUACCUGAAGAAGAAGCCCCGGCUAACUACGUGCCAGCAGCCGCGGUAAUACGUAGGGGGCAAGCGUUAUCCGGAUUUACUGGGUGUAAAGGGGGCGCAGACGGCGAUGCAAGCCAGGAGUGAAAGCCCGGUGCCCCACCCCGGGACUGCUCUUGGCACUGCGUGGCUGGAGUGCAGGAGGGG
rnacentral:rRNA from 1 species